UGCCAAAACCAAAGUCCUGCAUUCGACCAGAACUAACACAACCACCAGAACCUUAGCAGCUCAGCCACAAAAUGAUCAGCACACAACUUUCAGACCAAAUCUUCCGGCCAUUAAUCCCCGCCGCGUGUGUCAAUUUCCGGCGGCUGAUAACCACUAAGUCCAAACUACUGCCCUGCCCACGCCCUAAAUCUUUGAAACUCAAACACUUAGCCCAAAACUCCAAAUGGGCUAUUAGGCAGCUUAGUGGACCAAAGCCCGCCAAAAUUGACGUUUGACGUGGAACGGUUAGUAGGGUUUUUGUACGAGGAUCUGGUUCAUCUUUUUGAUGAUCAGGGAAUUGAUCGGACGGCGUAUGAUGAGGGUGUGAAGUUCAGGGACCCAAUCACCAAGCAUGACACUAUAACUGGGUACUUGUUGAACAUAGCCUUCUUGAAGAUUGUCUUCAUGCCUAAGUUCAGUUGUACUGGGCCAAACAGGCCAAAUAACUAUUUGAAUUAGAGAAACAAUACCUCAUUGAAUUGGUACAGUUGAAUUUUGCAAUUAAGCAUUCGUGUUAAUCACACUUGAAUAAUGCCACAAUUUUAUGUGGACUGUGCCUGGUUUUACUGACAAAGUUGCUAUAGACAGACCAUAUGAAUUCACUACAUGGUGGACCAUGGUUAUGAAGUUCAUCCCUCUACCCUGGAAACCAGAACUGAUCUUUACAGGAACCUCUGUCAUGGGCAUCAACCCCGAGACCGGGAAGUUCUGCAGCCAUGUCGUAGGAACUCCCCUGUCUAAUGUCAUUAUUUGUAUUGAUUUGGUAAUGUCGAUAAUGCAAUAAAGAACAAAAGUCUUGUCCAGAGACGAAUUGGUACUAUCUAUAACAACUUUAGUAAUUCACCAUCCUUUGAUGUGCAGUCUCAGUAUUCACUUGCCAAAACCUUAACCCUUGAACAUUCGUACAGAUUCUUACCCUUUUUGUAUGUAAAACCUCUGCAGCUGAGGAUUUACAAAACUCCAGACUUGGAAACACCCAAAUAUGAUAUUCUAAAAAGAACUGCAAACUAUGAGGAUGAUUUGGAUGAUGGAAUCUGUUUAGGCAAUCUUUGGAAAGAACUCGAAAAUGGAGAAGAUACCGAUGACUACUCCAGUCUUCACUGAGGCAUCUGAUGCCGAACUUUCCAAAGCAUCCAUCAAAUUAGUCUGAUCAGAGAUGGUCUCAAACCAAAGGAGGGUUGUUCGCUUGCUCGUUACAACGAUCCAGGCCGGACUUGGAGCUUUAUAUUGAGGAAUGAAGUGCUUAUAGGGCUGGAAGAGUUCACAUUGGACUAGCACAUUGAACGCGUUCUUCGACAACUCUCCCUGUCGAUCAUUUUUCCCUACACGCACAGUAAUAGUUUAUUUUCGGCUAACAAGGUACUAAAAGAGUUUGAUUUAUAGAACUAUGAUCUGAUACCGUGUAGAAUUAUGAGAUUAUAUUUAUAUCUUAAUGUACAUAUUUACACAAGUCAGUGACUUGAGAUACAAGCAAGUUACUUGAUUUAUAAGAAUACAAGUAAUCAUAUCCUAAGCAUAGAAUUCUUAGCGGAUUCUCAUUCUGUAACAUCUUCCCAUUGAUGGCUUCUAUUGAAUGAAUAUAUUCACAUA